rfam:Echinostoma caproni strain Egypt genome assembly, scaffold: ECPE_scaffold0007810
GCACUGCUGUCGAGUACCAAAUAGGACGAAACAGCUGUCCAGUGC